GUGGGGAAUCUUGCACAAUGGGCGAAAGCCUGAUGCAGCGACGCCGCGUGAGCGAUUAAGCCCUUCGGGGUGUAAAGCUCUUUCGACGGGAACGAUAAUGACGGUACCCGGAGAAGAAGCUGCGGCUAACUACGU
rnacentral:rRNA from 1 species